GGAGUAUUGGACAAUGGGCGCAAGCCUGAUCCAGCAAUGCCGCGUGAGUGAAGAAGGCCUUCGGGUUGUAAAGCUCUUUCGGCGGGGAAGAUAAUGACGGUACCCGCAGAAGAAGCCCCGGCUAACUUCGUGCCAGCAGCCGCGGUAAUACGAAGGGGGCUAGCGUUGUUCGGAAUUACUGGGCGUAAAGGGCGCGUAGGCGGAUCGGCCAGUCAGGGGUGAAAUCCCGGGGCUCAACCUCGGAACUGCCUUUGAUACUGCCGAUCUAGAGUCUGUGAGAGGGUGGCGGAAUACCCAGUGUAGAGGUGAAAUUCGUAGAUAUUGGGUAGAACACCAGUGGCGAAGGCGGCCACCUGGCACAGUACUGACGCUGAGGCGCGAAAGCGUGGGGAGCA
rnacentral:rRNA from 1 species